rnacentral:lncRNA from 1 species
UCCUUCUUCCUGUUUCCCAUUACCGACAGGACGUGAAUUUUGAGAUGCUUCUAUUUUUUUUCAUGGAAAAUUCUUCAGCGUGUCUAUUUUUGUCGUGAUUGCCAGUUCAUUGAGACAAAAGGCUUGUAAUGGAGCAGAUGAUAUCUUCUCCCAUCUUGGAGCUUGUCCAGAAGACAAGAGCAAAUUGGCUUGGCUGGCUUGAGAAAUCUGCGAAUCCUCACAUCGCCACGCGAUUCCUCAUUCUUGCCAAGCAGACCACUGACCUCUGAGUUUGGAAAGAAUGCUGAGCUGCAGAGCCCACAACGUUGUAGUAUUGGAUCAUGUCAGGACUUCACGCUCCCUGAGCCCAUCUUUGAGCUACUCAGGAUGUAAAUAGAACAAAUGCUCCACCACUGCAUUCCUGGAAGUCCUGAGGAAGUGAGUCCAGAAACGCACCACUUUCAGGGGAAGAAAUCCUCAUCCGAGGCACCCCAUGCGACAGCCCCGUGGGUGCUUGCCUGGUGCGUGCGGACAGACAGAGCUGCUGGCCUCGGAACAGCUGCGUCCCCGAGUCACUUAUGGAACCAAGCCAAGAGGAAUGAAAUAAGAAGUGAGAAUCCCUGCUCUUCGCUAACAGUAAUUUAUGGUUCAUCUCAGCCUGCCUCAUGGAACCUGGCCUUGUCUCUGUGGUCACCGAUCUCUAAUGGGAUCUCUCCUCCAAAAUCCCAAAUCAGCUUCCAGAAUGCACCUGAGAAGUUUUUGAGGUACUGCGGGAACGGUGCUACCCCCAUUUCAAGCAGACACAAAGCACGAUGCAGACUUGGUGUAGCAUCUCCUCAUUCUUUGCCCACCAAGGGAUGGCUGCCUUGA